rnacentral:misc_RNA from 1 species
AACUCUAUCCCCACCCUCUGUGGGGUACUUGUCGGUUGUGCCCUCGGGUACUCUGAUUAAAUGCAGUAGGUCUGGAUUAGGCUGGUGGCCUAGGACACUAUGUGCUAGAGACGUCAUAGACAGUCUUCUCAUGGUGCGUCCUAAGCUAUCAAGCUGGCCUAGUCGAGCCUCUACAGUCUGUACCUUUGGUAUAGACAAUCCCCCCUU